rnacentral:rRNA from 1 species
CCUACGGGUGGCAGCAGUGAGGAAUAUUGGUCAAUGGGCGGAAGCCUGAACCAGCCAAGUAGCGUGCGGGAUGAAGGCCCUACGGGUCGUAAACCGCUUUUGCACGGGGAUAACACCCUCCACUUGUGGAGGUCUGCAGGUACCGUGCGAAUAAGGGCCGGCUAAUUCCGUGCCAGCAGCCGCGGUAAUACGGAAGGCCCGAGCGUUAUCCGGAUUCAUUGGGCUUAAAGGGAGCGUAGGCGGGCGUUCAAGUCAGCUGUAAAAUCGCGCGGCUCAACCGCGCCCCGCAGUUGAAACUGGACGCCUUGAGUUCACAACAGGCAGGCGGAAUUCGUGGUGUAGCGGUGAAAUGCGUAGAUAUUAGGAGGAACACCAGUGGCGAAGGCGGCUUACUGGACUGUAACUGACGUUGAGGCUCGAAAGCGUGGGGAGCAAACAGGAUUAGAUACCCUUGUAGUC